AUUGAACGCUGGCGGCAUGCCUAACACAUGCAAGUCGAACGGCAGCACGUACUGGGUAACCAGUAUGGUGGCGAGUGGCGCACGGGUGAGUAAUGCGUAAGAAUAUGCCUUAAAGAGGGGGACAACCUGGGGAAACCCAGGCCAAUACCGCGUACGCCCUACGGAGGAACGCUGGGGACCGCAAGGCAUGGCGCCUUAGGAAUAGCUUAGGUCCGAUUAGAUAGGUGGGGGGGUAAAGGCCUACCAAGGCUACGAUCGGUAGCUGGUCUGAGAGGAUGAUCAGCCACACUGGGACUGAGACACGGCCCAGACUCCUACGGGAGGCAGCAGUGGGGAAUAUUGGACAAUGGGGGCAACCCUGAUCCAGCGAUGCCGCGUGUGUGAAGAAGGCCUGCGGGUUGUAAAGCACUUUCGAUGGGGAGGAGAGGUACGAUGUUAACAGCAUGGUACUGAGACGUUACCCAUAUAAGAAGCACCGGCUAACUCCGUGCCAGCCGCCGCAGUAA
rnacentral:rRNA from 1 species